CGGGACAGGUGAGUAAUGUCUGGGAAACUGCCCGAUGGAGGGGGAUAACUACUGGAAACGGUAGCUAAUACCGCAUAACGUCGCAAGACCAAAGAGGGGGACCUUAGGGCCUCUUGCCAUCGGAUGUGCCCAGAUGGGAUUAGCUAGUAGGUGGGGUAACGGCUCACCUAGGCGACGAUCCCUAGCUGGUCUGAGAGGAUGACCAGCCACACUGGAACUGAGACACGGUCCAG
rnacentral:rRNA from 1 species